CCCACUGAGGGGAGGGAAGCGGGGUGCUGGCUUGGGACUGCCUGGAAGGGAUUUUGGAGUCUGCUUUGGAGAUGGGGAUGUCUAAGAAGUGUCUCGUUAGGCCACCUAAAGGGAAAGUGUCUCUUUUGAUCUCAGUGCUGAGGUGCGCAGGGCAGAGCAGUUCCGGUGUGUGUCGUGUCACUUGUCUCUUGUGCAUUCUGUGUUGUUUGGGUCUGUCACGUCGCUUGUCUUUUUUUACCUUAGCUGUCUGAGGGUCAUCUUGGCAUCUGUGAUCUUUGCGUUCCUUGGACCAGCCCCAGCGCCACAGGCCUUUUGACUCGGGAGUCCCGACAGGCAUCGCAGUCGUAUCUGUCUUUAGAAGCAUCCGGUCAGAUGUCUUUUAAGGUCUCGUUCCGAGCGGUAGCGACAGCCGCGCACCCCAACGAUCCAUUAUAGCGGCUUAGGACUCGUGAGAAUGCCAAGCUAGGUAGCUCAUUCUUACCGUAGGCUUUUCAGGCAUCCGCUUGUGCAGUUCUCGGAAGACAUCGUUUUCUUAGCAUCUUCUUCCUGCAGGGUUCUUUGAGCCUCAUCAGCUCCGAGCCGUCCGUCUCACCUAGGUCAUCUCGUUCCGCAAUCUCUCUGUCCUCGCGGGCAUUUUUCUUGCCAAGAGAUUUUUCUCCUCGUGGCGUCCCCUCGUUUGUCGUGUCCUGUCCUGUGUCACGGGUGUCUGCACAUAUUUGUCCCGGAGCUGCUCUGUCCUGCUGCAUAGCCUGGUGUAAUUGCACAAGUCCUGGAGACCUGCAAUUGGGAAUGGGGGAUGUAGUUGUAUUCUAGAUGAUACAGGAUCUAGAUCACACAGGAUCCUUGGACCUGUUAAGUUAUCCUACAGUUGUUUGAAUUUUCUCCUAACUUUCUUUCAGAUGCAGACAUUUAAGAUCUGUGGCAGAGCGCCCCUCCUGGGUCAGGGGGUUUUCCCUGAGAAGGAAGUCCAGGCAGAUAGCUGCAGUCAAGGCCAAGUGUGUCAGGCAGUCCUCUUGCGAGAUGUCUCUGAUCCCAGAUGUCUGAGGCCAGGUGUCAUUGCUGCCCUAGGCGUGUGAAGGAACAGAGUCAAGCGGGUAUCCUCCUGGCAGCCUGUUGAGUCGCGUCAAGAUUUCAGGUCCCCGGGUCCCUACACGUUAUCCCGGAAUCUACCGCUGGACAUCAAAGAGCCGCGGUCAGAAGAUGCGUCAAAGCGUCAGCGUAGCGUUUCAAGUAAGGGUCGCAGUCAGCGUGUAAGCGGAAGAGCGUGUGAGAGAGCGUGAUUGUCCGUGUCUGUCUGUGAGAGCUUGUGUCUGCAGGUGUGAGUGUGUGUUGACCGGUUCUAACCUUGUGCGUAUGGCCUUUGCCUUUCAGGUUUUUCAGCUCAUUUUUAAAUUUAGAAUAAAAAAUCCCCAGCCAGGGCUUUUUUUUUUUUUCCCCCCGGCUGGGUUUUUUUUCCUCUGUCCCGGCCAGUCCGCGAGGCGACGUUCAUCGCCAAAGUUUGAAGGCGGACCGUCCUGGGACCGGGGUUUUCGUCAGGCAGGAGGAUUUUUUUGGAGGCUCCCGGGAACCACGUUCCCGAGGAACAACGAUUGCCGGGGCGUAACGGAGCGGUUGAAACGAGAGCGACAGUGAGUUUGCGUGCAAUGUGAAGGAGGUGGUCACGGUGGAUGACUGUUGUUUUCUGUAUGCUAUUUUUGUUUUGGUCUUUCCUCUAACAAUCAAACAAAAUGUAAUGUAAAUAGAAAAAAGGUUAUAUUGUGUUAAUAUGCGUUUGGUUUCUAUUGCCCCGUAUUGUUCCGUGUUUGCAUUUGCCGCCGCAUUUCCACAUACGGCUCCGUACGUAAGUCGGAUUUCUACCGGUCAGCGUACGGAUUGUAUCUACGCUCCCAUUUGUAUACAUCGUUUCCAUGUGUUUUGCUGGAGUGUAAAUAAAAAAAAUUAUUCAUUAAAGUUGAAUCAACCCUAAUAAUGAUGCCCCCCGCUCCCUCCCCCUCCCCCUUUGGCUCCUGUGUUUUUUUGGUGUGGUUUAGUCAUUUUUAUUUUUCCCCACUGUAUUUCUUCCUUUGCUUCUUCUCUUAGUUUUCUUUCUGUCACGUCAUUUCUGUCCGUCCCUAACUUUGUUUCUGUUUCUCACUGUUUCUAACUCUCUCUCUCUCUGCUUCUCUAUUUCCCUGUAUGUCUUUUCUUCUGUUUCUCUGUUUCACUAUUUCUAUUUAUUUUUCUCUCUAGUUGAUGCUUUUACUCUUUAUUUCUUUUUCUCUCCAGCUUCUCUUCUUUUUUUUCUCUAUUCUUUUGUCCUCUUUUUCACUCUCACCCUCUUUCUUUUUCACUGUAACCCUUCUCAUUUUUUACUCUUUGCCAUUCUUUUCCUAUUUCUUUUCGUCUCUUAAGUAGUCUCUUAAGUAGUCUCUUAAGUAGUCUCUUAAGUCUGUCUUUUUCUUUCUUUCCAUCUUUUCAUUUCUAACUUUGUUUCCCUUUCUAGCUUUCAAAAAGCAGCAGUAGAAACUUUCAGGCUCCCUGGGAGUAAAACAAAAAACAAACUUUAAAUAAUUAUUAAAAAAAAAAGAAUUUACUCCCCGGGAGCCUGAAACUUUCUACUGCUGCACCGGACAUAUAGUUUUUCUUCUUUUUUAUAUAUACCUAUACAACCCCUAAUUAGUGCUCCACCUGCCACAUUACAAUACCCACUACCCACAUCACCCCCACCAUGUAGACACCGCCAUCUUGCUCCCCAUCACGUGACCCGAUGGACGCCACCAUCUUGCUCCCUGUCACAUGACCACACGGAUGCCGCCAUUUUGUAGA